GACGAACGCUGGCGGCGUGCUUAACACAUGCAAGUCGAACGGAGAGGCCCUGCUUUUGUGGGGUGCUCGAGUGGCGAACGGGUGAGUAACACGUGAGUAACCUGCCCUUGACUUUGGGAUAACUUCAGGAAACUGGGGCUAAUACCGGAUAGGAGCUCCUGCUGCAUGGUGGGGGUUGGAAAGUUUCGGCGGUUGGGGAUGGACUCGCGGCUUAUCAGCUUGUUGGUGGGGUAGUGGCUUACCAAGGCUUUGACGGGUAGCCGGCCUGAGAGGGUGACCGGCCACAUUGGGACUGAGAUACGGCCCAGACUCGUACGGGAGGCAGCAGUGGGGAAUAUUGCACAAUGGGCGGAAGCCUGAUGCAGCAACGCCGCGUGCGGGAUGACGGCCUUCGGGUUGUAAACCGCUUUCGCCUGUGACGAAGCGUGAGUGACGGUAAUGGGUAAAGAAGCACCGGCUAACUACGUG
rnacentral:rRNA from 1 species